rnacentral:piRNA from 1 species
UAAUAAGUGCGCUCAUGUGCACAUGCGUGU